rnacentral:rRNA from 1 species
GAGUUUGAUCUUGGCUCAGGAUGAACGCUGGCGGCGUGCCUAAUACAUGCAAGUCGAGCGAACGGACGAGAAGCUUGCUUCUCUGAUGUUAGCGGCGGACGGGUGAGUAACACGUGGGUAACCUACCUAUAAGACUGGGAUAACUCCGGGAAACCGGGGCUAAUACCGGAUAACACAUGAAACCGCAUGGUUUCAUGAUGAAAGACGGUCUUGCUGUCACUUAUAGAUGGAUCCGCGCUGCAUUAGCUAGUUGGUAGGU